rnacentral:rRNA from 1 species
UACGAAGGUCCCAAGCGUUAUCCGGAUUUAUUGGGCUUAAAGGGCGCGUAGGCGGGCUAUUAAGUCCGUGGUGAAAGCCCCAAGCUUAACUUGGGAACUGCCAUUGAUACUGAUGGUCUUGAGUACAUUUGAGGUGGGCGGAAUGUGUCAUGUAGCGGUGAAAUGCUUAGAUAUGACACAGAACACCGAUUGCGAAGGCAGCUCGCUAAGCUGUAACUGACGCUGAGGCACGAAAGCGUGGGGAGCAAACAGG